rnacentral:rRNA from 1 species
CCUACGGGAGGCAGCAGUGAGGAAUAUUGGUCAAUGGGCUUACGCCUGAACCAGCCAAGUCGCGUGAGGGAAGACUGCCCUAUGGGUUGUAAACCUCUUUUGUCAGGGAGCAACGCCGGCUACGUGUAGCCGGACUGAGAGUACCUGAAGAAAAAGCAUCGGCUAACUCCGUGCCAGCAGCCGCGGUAAUACGGAGGAUGCGAGCGUUAUCCGGAUUUAUUGGGUUUAAAGGGUGCGUAGGCGGGCUGUUAAGUCAGCGGUCAAAUGUCGGGGCUCAACCCCGGCCUGCCGUUGAAACUGGCGGCCUCGAGUGGGCGAGAAGUAUGCGGAAUGCGUGGUGUAGCGGUGAAAUGCAUAGAUAUCACGCAGAACUCCGAUUGCGAAGGCAGCAUACCGGCGCCCGACUGACGCUGAGGCACGAAAGCGUGGGUAUCGAACAGGAUUAGAUACCCCAGUAGUC